rnacentral:rRNA from 1 species
UAGGGAAUCUUCCGCAAUGGGCGAAAGCCUGACGGAGCAACGCCGCGUGAGUGAUGAAGGUCUUCGGAUCGUAAAACUCUGUUAUUAGGGAAGAACAAAUGUGUAAGUAACUAUGCACGUCUUGACGGUACCUAAUCAGAAAGCCACGGCUAACUACGUGCCAGCAGCCGCGGUAAUACGUAGGUGGCAAGCGUUAUCCGGAAUUAUUGGGCGUAAAGCGCGCGUAGGCGGUUUUUUAAGUCUGAUGUGAAAGCCCACGGCUCAACCGUGGAGGGUCAUUGGAAACUGGAAAACUUGAGUGCAGAAGAGGAAAGUGGAAUUCCAUGUGUAGCGGUGAAAUGCGCAGAGAUAUGGAGGAACCCCAGUGGAGAAGGCGACUUUCUGGUCUGUAACUGACGCUGAUGUGCGAAAGCGUGGGGAUCAAACAGG